GCUCAUAAGUUUUUAUCUUUAAUACUAGCAACAAAAAGUUUUAAAUAACCCUAAAAGAUGAAUUGAUAGGAGAAAAGAAAACAACCCUAAAUGAUGAAAGUCUUCGACAGUCUUGGAAUUGUACUUUCUUCUUCUUCAAGAAACCCUUCGGUAGGAGAGGAAAGCCCUUAUACUGUCUUUAAGAGAUUAUAAUAAUUCCCCUUUGUAUAACCUAAAUCAACAAAGGACCCGC
rnacentral:lncRNA from 1 species